CUACGGGACGCUCCAGUGAGGAAUUUUGCGUAAUGGGGGAAACCCUGACGCAGCAACGCCGCGUGAGCGAAGAAGGCCCUCGGGUCGUAAAGCUCUGUCAAGUGGGAAAAAAAUCUUUUGAUCAAUAGUCAAAAGACUUGAUGGUACCACUGGAGGAAGCACCGGCUAACUCCGUGCCAGCAGCCGCGGUAAUACGGAGUGUGCAAGCGUUGUUCGGAUUUACUGGGCGUAAAGAGCGUGUAGGCGGUUUAGCAAGUCAGAUGUGAAAGCCCUGGGCUCAACCCGGGAAGUGCAUUUGAAACUGCUUCACUAGAGUAUGGGAGAGGAGAUUGGAAUUACUGGUGUAGAGGUGAAAUUCGUAGAUAUCAGGAGGAACACCCGUGGCGAAGGCGAUUCUCUGGACCAAUACUGACGCUGAGACGCGAAAGCGUGGGGAGCAAACAGGAUUAGAUACCCUAGUAGUC
rnacentral:rRNA from 1 species